GAUGAACGCUGGCGGCGUGCCUAAUACAUGCAAGUCGAGCGAACGGACGAGAAGCUUACUUCUCUGAUGUUAGCGGCGGACGGGUGAGUAACACGUGGAUAACCUACCUAUAAGACUAGGAUAACUUCGGGAAACCGGAGCUAAUACCGGAUGAUAUUUUGAACCGCAUGGUUCAAAAGUGAAAGACGGUCUUGCUGUCACUUAUAGAUGGAUCCGCGCUGCAUUAGCUAGUUGGUAAGGUAACGGCUUACCAAGGCAACGAUGCAUAGCCGACCUGAGAGGGUGAUCGGCCACACUGGAACUGAGACACGGUCCAGACUCCUACGGGAGGCAGCAGUAGGGAAUCUUCCGCAAUGGGCGAAAGCCUGACGGAGCAACGCCGCGUGAGUGAUGAAGGUCUUCGGAUCGUAAAACUCUGUUAUUAGGGAAGAACAUAUGUGUAAGUAACUGUGCACAUCUUGACGGUACCUAAUCAGAAAGCCACGGCUAACUACGUG
rnacentral:rRNA from 1 species